rnacentral:lncRNA from 1 species
CUCGGCACAGGCCUGCCCUGUCCUGCUCGCUCCAUUGUUCCUCCUGACCCAGGGGAAGGCGCCUAUGACCUUGCAGGGACAGCAGGCUCCCCACAGACAGUAGCUGAUAUAAUGGGCUAGACUGGACAUGCCAGCCUGGGAACGUAGGAGUGUACAGUUUUGCUGCGCUUGGGUUUGCUGUUUGAACCUUCUCGGCAGGGACUCUGUCUAUGGAGCUUCUUCCCUGAGGAUGUCCACUGGGUUCUCUCAGUGGCUGUCAUCCCAGCUGGGUACACUAGGCCUUUCUCUUCAGGUCACUUCAUCACUGAGCACGGCAGCCUUCCUUCAGUUUGCUUUUUCCUUGCCCAGUAGUGUCGGCUUUGGUGGCAGGAGCAAACCCCAGCUCUGCAGCCCAGGUGGGCUGAGUGCUCCUGUGUUACACACCACCCAGAGAUGUUGCCAAGAGAUGGGUACUUUAUACAUUAAUUACAGGGUAAGGGAAGAAGUCAAACUCUGCUUGCAUAUUUAAAUCAGACCACAGUAAUACAGAUUUUUCUCUUAGGGAGAGAUUACCAGGGAUCACAGAGGAAGCACGAGUCUUUCACGGGAGAUUUCCCCACUGAAAGCUUUGAACCUGGUUCACAGAACAGCCUUGUGAAGGAACACUUGCAGCCAAGGAUCUAGAAGCAUACAAGUGCCUAACACCCACUGGUAUCAUCUUAAACUUGCUAAGAAGCAGCUCUGAAGGUUCAAGCCAUGCACUGUGACAUGUCAAAUGAUAAACCUCCUAUUUUCAUGUACUGGAGCUAUUAUCAGUAGUUGUUGUCCUUUGUUAUGUUUCACUAAAAAUAAAAAUUAUAUUUAAAAAAACCCCUUUCA